rnacentral:rRNA from 1 species
AAAUUGAAGAGUUUGAUCAUGGCUCAGAUUGAACGCUGGCGGCAGGCCUAACACAUGCAAGUCGAACGGUAACAGGAAGCAGCUUGCUGUUUCGCUGACGAGUGGCGGACGGGUGAGUAAUGUCUGGGAAACUGCCUGAUGGAGGGGGAUAACUACUGGAAACGGUAGCUAAUACCGCAUAACGUCGCAAGACCAAAGAGGGGGACCUUCGGGCCUCUUGCCAUCGGAUGUGCCCAGAUGGGAUUAGCUAGUAGGUGGGGUAACGGCUCACCUAGGCGACGAUCCCUAGCUGGUCUGAGAGGAUGACCAGCCACACUGGAACUGAGACACGGUCCAGACUCCUACGGGAGGCAGCAGUGGGGAAUAUUGCACAAUGGGCGCAAGCCUGAUGCAGCCAUGCCGCGUGUAUGAAGAAGGCCUUCGGGUUGUAAAGUACUUUCAGCGGGGAGGAAGGGAGUAAAGUUAAUACCUUUGCUCAUUGACGUUACCCGCAGAAGAAGCACCGGCUAACUCCGUGCCAGCAGCCGCGGUAAUACGGAGGGUGCAAGCGUUAAUCGGAAUUACUGGGCGUAAAGCGCACGCAGGCGGUUUGUUAAGUCAGAUGUGAAAUCCCGGGCUCAACCUGGAACUGCAUCUGAUACUGGCAAGCUUGAGUCUCGUAGAGGGGGUAGAAUUCCAGGUGUAGCGGUGAAAUGCGUAGAGAUCUGGAGGAAUACCGGUGGCGAAGGCGGCCCCCUGGACGAAGACUGACGCUCAGGUGCGAAAGCGUGGGGAGCAAACAGGAUUAGAUACCCUGGUAGUCACGCCGUAAACGAUGUCGACUUGGAGGUUGUGCCCUUGAGGUGUGGCUUCCGGUAGCUAACGCGUUAAGUCGACCGCCUGGGAGUACGGCCGCAAGGUUAAAACUCAAAUGAAUUGACGGGGGGCCCGCACAAGCGGUGGAGCAUGUGGUUUAAUUCGAUGCAACGCGAAGAACCUUACCUGGUCUUGACAUCCACGGAAGUUUUCAGAGAUGGAAUGGUGCCUUCGGGAACCGUGAGACAGGUGCUGCAUGGCUGUCGUCAGCUCGUGUUGUGAAAUGUUGGGUUAAGUCCCGCAACGAGCGCAACCCUUAUCCUUUGUUGCCAGCGGUCCGGCCGGGAACUCAAAGGAGACUGCCAGUGAUAAACUGGAGGAAGGUGGGGAUGACGUCAAGUCAUCAUGGCCCUUACGACCGUGGCUACACACGUGCUACAAUGGCGCAUACAAAGAGAAGCGACCUCGCGAGAGCAAGCGGACCUCAUAAAGUGCGUCGUAGUCCGGAUUGAGUCUGCAACUCGACUCCAUGAAGUCGGAAUCGCUAGUAAUCGUGGAUCAGAAUGCCACGGUGAAUACGUUCCGGGCCUUGUACACACCGCCCGUCACACCAUGGGAGUGGGUUGCAAAGAAGUAGGUAGCUUAACCUUCGGGAGGGCGCUUACCACUUUGUGAUUCAUGACUGGGGUGAAGUCGUAACAAGGUAACCGUAGGGGAACCUGCGGUUGAUCACCUCCUUACCUUAAAGAAGC